GGGAGCGCGCGUGCAUGGCCCAGCGCCUCGGCGCGCGUGCCAGGCAGAGGGGGGUGCAGCGCAAGUGGGAAGGUGGCAGGGGAGUAAAGGAGAGAGAGAAGAAAGAGGAAGGGAGAGGAGGAAGAAAGAGAAGGAAAAAGGAGAAGGGAAAGAAAAAGGGGAAAAAGAAAGAAGGAAGAGAAGGUAGAAAAGGGAGGGAAAAAGAUGGCGAAAAUUGCAGGAUUCGACUGCGCGCGGUGACGGACUUGACGGGCACGCGGCAAAAAUUACGGGGAGCGGAAAAAGGAGAGUUGACGAGCCGGGGCCAGGAUGGCGGGUCCGACGGAAGGGAAAGGAUUUGACGGAGCUCGGCGGUCGGAAAAAUUUUGAAAAGUAUUUUUAACGAGUGAUUUAACUGGAUGUAUUUUACGGGCGUUACAGCUUUGUUGUCCCCAUUGCCUGCACCUUAUGUCCAAUUGAUAUUUUGAGUACGUCAUUUUGUCCUUGGUUG
rnacentral:lncRNA from 1 species